rnacentral:rRNA from 1 species
AAGUUCGAACGCGAAAGUCCCCUUCGGGGGACAAGUAGAGUGGCGCACGGGUGAGUAACACGUAGGUAAUCUACCUUCGGAUGGGGAAUAACAACCGGAAACGGUUGCUAAUACCGCAUAAUGCAGCGGCACCUAAUGGUGACAGUUGUUAAAGCGGGGGAUCGCAAGACCUCGCGUCUGAAGAGGAGCCUGCGGCGGAUUAGCUAGUUGGUAAGGUAAUGGCUUACCAAGGCGACGAUCCGUAACCGGCCUGAGAGGGCGGUCGGUCACACUGACACUGACAUACGGGUCAGACUCCUACGGGAGGCAGCAGUCGGGAAUUUUGGGCAAUGGGCGCAAGCCUGACCCAGCAACGCCGCGUGAAGGAUGAAAUCCCUCGGGAUGUAAACUUCGCAAGAACGGGAAGAAUAAGUAGGGGACAAUACCCCCUAUGAUGACGGUACCGUUUGUAAGCUCCGGCUAACUCCGUGCCAGCAGCCGCGGUAAUACGGGGGGAGCAAGCGUUGUUCGGAUUUACUGGGCGUAAAGGGCGCGUAGGCGGCCAGCGCAAGUCAGUUGUGAAAUCUCCGAGCUUAACUCGGAAAGGUCAACUGAUACUGCGCGGCUAGAGUGCAGAAGGGGCAACUGGAAUUCUUGGUGUAGCGGUGAAAUGCGUAGAUAUCAAGAGGA